GAGAAGCAAAGCCGCGAGGUAGAGCAAAUCUCGAAAAAACAUCUCAGUUCAGACUGCAGGCUGCAACUCGCCUGCACGAAGUCGGAAUUGCUAGUAAUCGUAGGUCAGCAUACUACGGUGAAUACGUUCCCGGGCCUUGUACACACCGCCCGUCAAACCAUGAGAGUUGGCAACACCCGAAGUCGGUAGUCUAACCGCAAGGAGGACGCCGCCGAAGGUGGGGUCGAUGAUUAGGGUUAAGUCGUAACAAGGUAGC
rnacentral:rRNA from 1 species